GACGAACGCUGGCGGCGCGCCUAACACAUGCAAGUCGAACGAGAGAUGAGGAGCUUGCUCUUCAAAUCGAGUGGCGAACGGGUGAGUAACGCGUGAGGAACCUGCCUCAAAGAGGGGGACAACAGUUGGAAACGACUGCUAAUACCGCAUAAGCCCACGGCUCGGCAUCGAGCAGAGGGAAAAGGAGCAAUCCGCUUUGAGAUGGCCUCGCGUCCGAUUAGCUGGUUGGUGAGGUAACGGCCCACCAAGGCGACGAUCGGUAGCCGGACUGAGAGGUUGAACGGCCACAUUGGGACUGAGACACGGCCCAGACUCCUACGGGAGGCAGCAGUGGGGGAUAUUGCACAAUGAGGGAAACCCUGAUGCAGCAACGCCGCGUGAGGGAAGAAGGUUUUCGGAUUGUAAACCUCUGUCCUUGGUGAAGAUAAUGACGGUAGCCAAGGAGGAAGCUCCGGCUAACUACGUG
rnacentral:rRNA from 1 species